UGCAACAUGAGCACGACUCUUUUUAGACUCAUUGAUUAGUACAGCCCGGAUCCCAGCGCCUUUCUCCCCCCAUUCGGCUAUAGAAACUACCCACUAUUAUCAACCCGUGGUACUAAUACAAAGAAAGCCUCGUCGUAGUUGUUGCCGAUUUUAGUUUAUUAUGUCUAUCGGGCGUCUGACGAAUGGCUCUCUGCUUCUUUCCCUGGCGAACGUAUAACGGAAGAUCUUGUAAAAUUCGCCAUUGCUAAAGUUUUUGGCAUUUCCGGUUGAAAGUUGGGAAGCUCAUAGCUGUCCUAUGGAUCUAUGUCCUGGGAGAAAUGGAAGGAGAUAGCACGCCUGGAAACUCCUUAAACCGCAAAAGUUUCUCACUCCUCGGUGGUGUCUCCGAUUUUGAUGAUUUAAAAAGAAUUAGAUACGUCAGGGGGAGUAGUACGGGUUAACCACAUUUCAUCCAAUUCUAAGGACUCUCUCAUAUAGAAAUCAAUUAACGAAAAACAUUUUAAAUCUUUCAUUCGCUGUAAACAAAAAAUUCAUUGCUAUUUUCGCCUACUCAUCGGUUUGCUCCGACUUAUCGCCAAACACGCGGCGAACCGGCUUUUGGAGAGAGUCCCAGUUCAGAGAGGCAGAUAUGUAUUUAAUUAUAGUAUAUAUGGCUUUCCGUCUUGGCACUCGAACGGGAGGAAAAGAAUAAUAGAGACCAUGUGCUUCCUCCUCUAAUCAAAAAUAAUCAAGAGCGGUCAACGCGGGAAAGUUUUGGGUUGAAGUUUCUAUAAUAAAUAGUGCAAAAAGUCUUCAAGAGUUCAGUAACAUUUGGUUAUUGUCCUUGAAUAAAUAUUUUCCAAUUUUUGGGAAGUUCAUCGCUAGAAAUAAUAUAUAUAUAUAUGUCUAUAUAUUUAUGAGUGAGGAAGGACAAUUUUUUAGCUUCAAAAGUCCAUUGACAUGUGUUGUGUUUCACCAAAAUAUAUAUAGCAAUGCAAACUCAUUAAAGUCGAAUAAACAAGUGACCUGGCAGAAUCGUUAUCAGUCAGCUUGGCCCUGAUAACGCAGGAUCCUGGGCAGGAAUUUAAUAUGACUUGCAAGCUGUUUAUCAUCUCAGAUUAGUCAGUUAUCAGAGGGAAGAAUCUUUUGAAGCCCAUUUUAAGCUAAAUGCUUUUGGGAUAAAAGUAUUUAUCCAAAUUCCACAAAAUGAAAAGUAUAUAAAGUUUGUUUUGAGAUAAUUUUUUAUUAUUAUAAUAAAAUGUAUAUUAUUU